GCCCGCACUCCGCAGUUGUGGCCUGAUUUGUAAUCAGGGGUCGCGGGUUCGAACCCUGCUGCCGGCA
rnacentral:tRNA from 1 species